UAUAGAAAUCAACCUGCCUUGUCAUUACCACACCCAUGACCACGGCUGAAGCUGAGAGGUGCUUCUCAACCUUGACAAGAAUAAAAACUUUUCUCAGAAACACCAUGACCCAGGAGAGGCUGAAUGCACUGGCCAUGCUGUCCAUGGAAAAGAGACUUGUUACUGAGAUGACUGACUUUAAUCAGAGAGUCAUUGAGAAAUUUGCUGGCCAGAAGGAAAGGAGAGCAACAUUUAUGUUCAAGUAGUUAACAUGCUUUUUGGUAGUGGGUGGGAGGAUAUAGUUUAAAAAAAAUAAAUAAAAAAAAAACUCAGUCAGAGUCACUAUCUUCUUAUGUUUGUAACUUGAAUUUUUUAUUGUCUUGCUCUUCUUAAAUACAUAGCCUAGUUGUUUAAAUAAAGUAGUGCUGGUUGUUGUGCCCAG